rnacentral:rRNA from 1 species
UGCGGUAGGGAAGACUGGAAUUCCUGUUGUAGCGGUGAAAAUGCGUAGAUAUAUGGAGGAACAACAAGUGGCGAAGGCGGCUCUCUGGCCAGUAACUGACGCUGAGGCGCGAAAGCGGGGGGAGCAAACAGGAUUAGAUACCCUGGUAGUCCACGCCGUAAACGAUGAGUGCUAGGUGUUGGGGGGUUCCACCCUCAGUGCUGACGUUAACACAUUAAGCACUCCGCCUGGGGAGUACGACCGCAAGGUUGAAACUCAAAGGAAUUGACGGGGGCCCGCACAAGCAGUGGAGCAUGUGGUUUAAUUCGAAGCAACGCGAAGAACCUUACCAGGUCUUGACAUCCUUCGCUACUUCCAGAGAUGGAAGGUUCCCCUUCGGGGGACGAAGUGACAGGUGGUGCAUGGUUGUCGUCAGCUCGUGUCGUGAGAUGUUGGGUUAAGUCCAGCAACGAGCGCAACCCUUGAUCUUAGUUGCCAGCAUCCAGUUGGGCACUCUAAGGUGACUGCCGGUGACAAACCGGAGGAAGGUGGGGACGACGUCAAAUCAUGAUGCCCCUUAUGACCUGGGCUACACACGUGCUACAAUGGAUGGUACAAAGGGCAGCAAAACCACGAGGUUGAGCGUAUCCCAUAAAGCCAUUCUCAGUUCGGAUUGCAGGCUGCAACUCGCCUGCAUGAAGCCGGAAUUGCUAGUAAUCGCGGAUCAGCAUGCCGCGGUGAAUACGUUCCCGUCUUA